rnacentral:rRNA from 1 species
UUGAGAUUAUACACCGUGAAUCUCACCAGGAGCGACAGCAGAAUGAAGGUCAGUCUGAAGGGCUUACCUGACACGCUGAGAGGAGUUGCAUGGCCGACAUCAGCCUGUGCUGUGAGGCGACCUGUUAAAUCAGGUAACAGGCAAGACCCGCGUGCUUAUUUACUAUUUGUACAAUAAGCAGAUUGCCGUGGUAACACGGAUGAAAGUGUGGGCUAUGUUUGGUAGUACAGCCCGAAUCCCCUGGGUAACACGCGCGCGUCAAAGGUAGAUGCAGCGGGAUGCGACUCUGAAAAGAGAAGCUAAUCUCUUAAUGUCUAUCUCGGUCUAGAUUGAGGUUUGUAACCCAACCUCAUGACACUGGAAUCCGUACUAAUCGGACGUUAGCAGCAUCCGGUGAAUAAGUCACUGUCUCUUG